rnacentral:rRNA from 1 species
GAUGAACGCUGGCGGCGUGCCUAAUACAUGCAAGUCGAGCGAACAGACGAGGAGCUUGCUCCUCUGACGUUAGCGGCGGACGGGUGAGUAACACGUGGAUAACCUACCUAUAAGACUGGGAUAACCUCGGGAAACCGGAGCGAAUACCGGAUAAUAUAUUGAACCGCAUGGUUCAAUAGUGAAAGACGGCUUUGCUGUCACUUAUAGAUGGAUCCGCGCCGCAUUAGCUAGUUGGUAAGGUAACGGCUUACCAAGGCGACGAUGCGUAGCCGACCUGAGAGGGUGAUCGGCCACACUGGGACUGAGACACGGUCCAGACUCCUACGGGAGGCAGCAGUAGGGAAUCUUCCGCCAUGGGCGAAAGCCUGACGGAGCAACGCCGCGUGAGUGAUGAAGGUCUUCGGAUCGUAAAACUCUGUUAUUAGGGAAGAACAAAUGUGUAAGUAACUAUGCACGUCUUGACGGUACCUAAUCAGAAAGCCACGGCUAACUACGUG